AUGAUGGACUAUAGGACAGGACUGCUGCUUUUAACUGUCUGCUGGGCAGGUGUUGAUGGUCAGACUCUGACAGAAUCUGAACCAGUGGUUAAAAGGCCUGGAGAAUCCCACAGAUUGACCUGUACAGCCUCUGGAUUCACAUUCAGCGACUACGAUAUGAACUGGAUCAGACAGGCUCCUGGAAAAAGACUGGAGUGGAUUGCAUGGAUUGAAAACAAUAACAACAGGAAAUACUAUUCUCAGUCAGUUCAAGGCCGGUUUACCAUCUCCAGAGACAACAGCAGACAGCAGCUGUAUCUGCAGAUGAACAGUCUGAAGACUGAAGAUUCUGCUGUUUAUUAUUGUGCUCGAUAG